rnacentral:rRNA from 1 species
GUGGGGAAUUUUGGACAAUGGGCGCAAGCCUGAUCCAGCAAUGCCGCGUGCAGGAUGAAGGCCUUCGGGUUGUAAACUGCUUUUGUACGGAACGAAAAGCCCUGGGUUAAUACCCUGGGGUCAUGACGGUACCGUAAGAAUAAGCACCGGCUAACUACGUGCCAGCAGCCGCGGUAAUACGUAGGGUGCAAGCGUUAAUCGGAAUUACUGGGCGUAAAGCGUGCGCAGGCGGUUAUAUAAGACAGAUGUGAAAUCCCCGGGCUCAACCUGGGAACUGCAUUUGUGACUGUAUAGCUAGAGUACGGUAGAGGGGGAUGGAAUUCCGCGUGUAGCAGUGAAAUGCGUAGAUAUGCGGAGGAACACCGAUCGCGAAGGCAAUCCCCUGGACCUGUACUGACGCUCAUGCACGAAAGCGUAGGGAGCAAACAGGAUUAGAUACCCUAGUAGUCC